rnacentral:rRNA from 1 species
GGUUAAGCGACUAAGCGUACACGGUGGAUGCCCUGGCAGUCAGAGGCGAUGAAGGACGUGCUAAUCUGCGAUAAGCGCCGGUAAGGUGAUAUGAACCGUUAUAACCGGCGAUUUCCGAAUGGGGAAACCCAGUGUGACUCGUCACACUAUCAUUAACUGAAUCCAUAGGUUAAUGAGGCGAACCGGGGGAACUGAAACAUCUAAGUACCCCGAGGAAAAGAAAUCAACCGAGAUUCCCCCAGUAGCGGCGAGCGAACGGGGAGGAGCCCAGAGCCUGAAUCAGCAUGUGUGUUAGUGGAAGCGUCUGGAAAGGCGCGCGAUACAGGGUGACAGCCCCGUACACAAAAGCGCAUGUGCUGUGAGCUCGAUGAGUAGGGCGGGACACGUGGUAUCCUGUCUGAAUAUGGGGGGACCAUCCUCCAAGGCUAAAUACUCCUGACUGACCGAUAGUGAACCAGUACCGUGAGGGAAAGGCGAAAAGAACCCCGGCGAGGGGAGUGAAAAAGAACCUGAAACCGUGUACGUACAAGCAGUGGGAGCACAGGUUUACCUGUGUGACUGCGUACCUUUUGUAUAAUGGGUCAGCGACUUAUAUUCUGUAGCAAGGUUAACCGCAUAGGGGAGCCGCAGGGAAACCGAGUCUUAACCGGGCGUUAAGUUGCAGGGUAUAGACCCGAAACCCGGUGAUCUAGCCAUGGGCAGGUUGAAGGUUGGGUAACACUAACUGGAGGACCGAACCGACUAAUGUUGAAAAAUUAGCGGAUGACCUGUGGCUGGGGGUGAAAGGCCAAUCAAACCGGGAGAUAGCUGGUUCUCCCCGAAAGCUAUUUAGGUAGCGCCUCGUGAAUUCAUCUCCGGGGGUAGAGCACUGUUUCGGCUAGGGGGUCAUCCCGACUUACCAACCCGAUGCAAACUGCGAAUACCGGAGAAUGUUAUCACGGGAGACACACGGCGGGUGCUAACGUCCGUCGUGAAGAGGGAAACAACCCAGACCGCCAGCUAAGGUCCCAAAGUCAUGGUUAAGUGGGAAACGAUGUGGGAAGGCCCAGACAGCCAGGAUGUUGGCUUAGAAGCAGCCAUCAUUUAAAGAAAGCGUAAUAGCUCACUGGUCGAGUCGGCCUGCGCGGAAGAUGUAACGGGGCUAAACCAUGCACCGAAGCUGCGGCAGCGAACGUAUCACCCAAGACAACUUUGCGGAGUUGACGAUUGACGGAGCGAAGCGACGUCAAAGCGUUCAUUAAAGUCGAGUUGGCUUAGGGAUACGUUCGUUGGGUAGGGGAGCGUUCUGUAAGCCUGUGAAGGUAUGCUGUGAGGCAUGCUGGAGGUAUCAGAAGUGCGAAUGCUGACAUAAGUAACGAUAAAGCGGGUGAAAAGCCCGCUCGCCGGAAGACCAAGGGUUCCUGUCCAACGUUAAUCGGGGCAGGGUGAGUCGACCCCUAAGGCGAGGCCGAAAGGCGUAGUCGAUGGGAAACGGGUUAAUAUUCCCGUACUUGGUGUUACUGCGAAGGGGGGACGGAGAAGGCUAUGUUGGCCGGGCGACGGUUGUCCCGGUUUAAGCGUGUAGGUGUGUGUUCCAGGUAAAUCCGGUUCACUUUAACACUGAGGCGUGACGACGAGGCACUACGGUGCUGAAGCAACAAAUGCCCUGCUUCCAGGAAAAGCCUCUAAGCAUCAGGUAACAUCAAAUCGUACCCCAAACCGACACAGGUGGUCAGGUAGAGAAUACCAAGGCGCUUGAGAGAACUCGGGUGAAGGAACUAGGCAAAAUGGUGCCGUAACUUCGGGAGAAGGCACGCUGACAUGUAGGUGAAGUGAUUUACUCAUGGAGCUGAAGUCAGUCGAAGAUACCAGCUGGCUGCAACUGUUUAUUAAAAACACAGCACUGUGCAAACACGAAAGUGGACGUAUACGGUGUGACGCCUGCCCGGUGCCGGAAGGUUAAUUGAUGGGGUCAGCGCAAGCGAAGCUCCUGAUCGAAGCCCCGGUAAACGGCGGCCGUAACUAUAACGGUCCUAAGGUAGCGAAAUUCCUUGUCGGGUAAGUUCCGACCUGCACGAAUGGCGUAAUGAUGGCCAGGCUGUCUCCACCCGAGACUCAGUGAAAUUGAACUCGCUGUGAAGAUGCAGUGUACCCGCGGCAAGACGGAAAGACCCCGUGAACCUUUACUAUAGCUUGACACUGAACAUUGAGCCUUGAUGUGUAGGAUAGGUGGGAGGCUUUGAAGCGUGGACGCCAGUCUGCGUGGAGCCGACCUUGAAAUACCACCCUUUAAUGUUUGAUGUUCUAACGUGGACCCGUUACCCGGGUUGCGGACAGUGUCUGGUGGGUAGUUUGACUGGGGCGGUCUCCUCCUAAAGAGUAACGGAGGAGCACGAAGGUUGGCUAAUCCUGGUCGGACAUCAGGAGGUUAGUGCAAUGGCAUAAGCCAGCUUGACUGCGAGCGUGACGGCGCGAGCAGGUGCGAAAGCAGGUCAUAGUGAUCCGGUGGUUCUGAAUGGAAGGGCCAUCGCUCAACGGAUAAAAGGUACUCCGGGGAUAACAGGCUGAUACCGCCCAAGAGUUCAUAUCGACGGCGGUGUUUGGCACCUCGAUGUCGGCUCAUCACAUCCUGGGGCUGAAGUAGGUCCCAAGGGUAUGGCUGUUCGCCAUUUAAAGUGGUACGCGAGCUGGGUUUAGAACGUCGUGAGACAGUUCGGUCCCUAUCUGCCGUGGGCGCUGGAGAACUGAGGGGGGCUGCUCCUAGUACGAGAGGACCGGAGUGGACGCAUCACUGGUGUUCGGGUUGUCAUGCCAAUGGCACUGCCCGGUAGCUAAAUGCGGAAGAGAUAAGUGCUGAAAGCAUCUAAGCACGAAACUUGCCCCGAGAUGAGUUCUCCCUGAGACUUUAGGUCUCCUGAAGGAACGUUGAAGACGACGACGUUGAUAGGCCGGGUGUGUAAGCGCAGCGAUGCGUUGAGCUAACCGGUACUAAUGAACCGUGAGGCUUAACCUU